rnacentral:rRNA from 1 species
ACCAGUGACGAUAGCACGUUGAAUGUUCCAGUUCUCAAUGGAUCACUGAAGUUAAGCAACGUUGCGCGUAGUUAGUAACCGGAUGGGUGACCAUGAGGGCAAUCACACUCAGGUU